rnacentral:rRNA from 1 species
AUUGAACGCUGGCGGCAGGCCUAACACAUGCAAGUCGAGCGAGCGGCGGACGGGUGAGUAAUGCCUGGGAAUUGCCAAGUCGAGGGGGAUAACAGUUGGAAACGAAUGCUAAUACCGAAUAGGUUGGGAUUGCACAGGUGGGAGUAGUUGGUUGGUGAGGAAAUGGUUCACCAAGGCGACGGUCCCUAGCUGGUCUGAGGGGAUGAUCAGCCCCACUGUAACUGAGACACGGUCCAGACUCCUACGGGAGGCAGCAGUGGGGAAUAUUGCACAAUGGGGGAAACCCUGAUGCAGCCAUGCCGCGUGUGUGAAGAAGGCCUUCGGGUUGUAAAGCACUUUCAGCGAGGAGGCGUUACUCGCAGAAGAAGCACCGGCUAACUCCGUGCCAGCAGCCGCGGUAAUUC